rnacentral:piRNA from 1 species
GAAAAGGUUAAAAUUUUAAAUGCUGGU